rnacentral:rRNA from 1 species
AAACCGGCGUGAGCCAGGUCGGUUUCUAUCCUAAGAUAAAUUANAUUCUUAUUAGUACGAAAGGACCAUAAGGAUAAAAUAUUUUUUAUAAUUAUGAAUUANUAUUAAUUAAAUNUUAA